rnacentral:rRNA from 1 species
UACAUGGGGGUGCAAACGUUGCUCGGAAUUAUUGGGCGUAAAGCGCACGUAGGCGGUUCGUUAAGUCGGAUGUGAAAGCCCUCGGCUCAACUGAGGAAGUGCACCCGAAACUGGCGAUCUUGAGUCCGGAAGAGGUGAGUGGAACUCCUAGUGUAGAGGUGGAAUUCGUAGAUAUUAGGAAGAACACCAGUGGCGAAGGCGGCUCACUGGUCCGGUACUGACGCUGAGGUGCGAAAGCGUGGGGAGCAAACAGG